rnacentral:lncRNA from 1 species
CCCUCUAUAUGUGAUAUAUUUACUUGUACAAAUUUUAAAGCAUUUCAUCUGUGAUCCUAUUACUUAAAUGGAUCUCAAAGCUUUCAAUCCUCUAUCAUCCUUUCGUCCAUAGAAAUCUUAAACCACUUCAUCCUCAACCAUUCAUCUAUCUGCAUAAAUUUUAAAGUACUCCAUCUAUGAUCUAUCCACUUGAACAAAUCUCAAAGUACUCCAUCAUCUAUCUUCCAUCCAUCUUCAUAAAUCUUAAAGCACUUCUUUGUCUUCAUUUAUCUAUCUAUACAGAUCUUAAAAUACUCGAUCCUUUAAUAGUCAUUAGCUAACAC